GGGUUGGCACCAGCAGCGCAC
rnacentral:antisense_RNA from 1 species